rnacentral:rRNA from 1 species
GAAGGCAGUUCACUGGCCGAUUACUGACCCUCAUGGACGAAAGCGUGGGUAGCGAAAAGGAUUAGAUACCCUUGUAGUCCACGCUGCAAACGUUGUGUACUAGGUGUAGGAGGAUUUUACCCCUUCUGUGCCUGAGCUAACGCCGUAAGUACACCGCCUGGGGACUACGGCCGCAAGGCUAAAACUCAAAGGAAUUGACGGGGACCCGCACAAGCGGUGGAGCAUGUGGCUUAAUUCGAGGCAACGCGAAGAACCUUACCUGGACUUGACAUCUAGUGACCGUCUGUGAAAGCAGAUUUCCCUUCGGGGCGCAAAGACAGGUGCUGCAUGGCUGUCGUCAGCUCGUGCCGUGAGGUGUUCGGUUAAGUCCGGCAACGAGCGCAACCCACGAUAUUAGUUACCAUCAGGUGAUGCUGGGGACUCUAAUAUGACUGCCCGUGUAAGCGGGAGGAAGGCGUGGACGACGUCAAGUCAGUAUGGCCCUUAUGUCCAGGGCUGCACACGUGCUACAAUGGCCAGUACAAUGGGCUGCAAAACUGUGAGGUGGAGCAAAUCCUUAAAACUGGUCUUAGUUCGGAUUGUAGUCUGCAACUCGACUACAUGAAGUUGGAAUCGCUAGUAAAGGCGUAUCAGCUACGACGCCUUGAAUACGUUCCCGGGUCUUGUACACACCGCC